AUUGAACGCUGGCGGCAGGCCUAACACAUGCAAGUCGAACGAGAGGCGGACGGGUGAGUAAUGUAUGGGAAACUGCCUGAUGUAGGGGGAUAACUACGAGAAAAGGUAGCUAAUACUGCAUACCAUGGGAUGGGGCCAGAUGGGAGUAGCUAGUAGGGGGGGUAAAGGCUCACCUAGGGGACAUUCCCUAGCUGGUCUGAGAGGAUGACCAGCCACACUGGAACUGAGACACGGGCCAGACUCCUACGGGAGGCAGCAGUGGGGAAUAUUGCACAAUGGGCGCAAGCCUGAUGCAGCCAUGCCGCGUGUAUGAAGAAGGCCUUCGGGUUGUAAAGUACUUUCAGCGGAGAGGCGGUACCCGCAGAAGAAGCACCGGCUAACUCCGUGCCAGCAGCCGCGGUAAUUC
rnacentral:rRNA from 1 species